CUUAAAAUAAGUUAAAACCAAAAGUAGGCCUCCCCCUACUUUUAUUUUUUUGACUUAAAGUCAUUUAAGUUUGACUUCUUAUUUUUGACUCAAAAGCUACAUUUUUAAGCCAAUCCAAAUGGGCUCUUCGUAUUGUUGUUGAAUAAAAUCAAACAAAUAGGUCAAUUAUGUAUCACUUGCCAUAGUAGUUCAUUAUGGAAAAAACAGAUUAUUUCAAAGUUAGCCACCAAUCCACUAAUUUUCUGGAAAUAUAAUAAAUAAUACAGUGAAUUCUUGUAGGGCUUACCUACUUUUUAUUAUUUUUUUAAAUGUCGGUGGUGUUUGGAUCGGAUUACGUGCAUUAUGACUAUUUUACUAGAUACACGUCAUGUUCCAUCAGCAUAAGUAGUGAAUAUUGUUACUAAUUUGAUUAUGAUGGGGUUGCACUAGGGAUCAACUCUUAGUCCGUACCUAUUUGCAUUGGUGAUUGGAUGUAUUGACACAUUAUUUUCAAGGAGAGAUGCUAUGGUGUAUGUUAUUUGUUUGGCUGUCUGUCAACUGAUCUUCGUUGUUUGUCUGUUUGUUGCUUAAAUUCCAAUUAGCCAUUAGCCUGGUAAGUGGAGAAAUCAGGGAAUAUGCUGCAUCUCAAAGACUUGGCACAUUUUCUGCCAUUCCUGAGUUGCUUAAUGAUGCUCUCUUUUCCAGGCUUAUUGGGAUGACUCCACGAAGCAGGUCUAUUAUGGAAAUGCUGUGACAUCAGAAAUGUCCUGGAACAGGCUAACUUGACUGACAAAGAUCAAUAGGAGUUCCUACUUUACAAUAUUCAUUGUAACACUAGUGGUUCCAAUAAUAUUGGCAAUUACUAUCUUGUUGUAUAUAUGUAGGGGUAUAGUGAUGUGAUGCAGUGGUAGCUGUUUUUGAACUCGAUUUGAUUUCUUAAUGAGGUCUAAAGUUUUGUUAGUAUGAUAUUCAGGUGGAGAAGGGCAAGGAGCGAGCUUUAUCAUUCCCCGAGUUUUGAAACCAUGUGUCUGCCCCUCUGGGGUUUAUCAUUAUUGAAGUAGCUUUAGUUCGUCCCGGGAAGUUGAGUAUAAAUGACAAUUUUCUAUCCAAACUAAUAAUUUUGUAUGUGCGUCUACAUAGCAAUUCCCAAUGCUACAUCUUUCCUAUUUGAUGAUUAUGACCCAAAAACAGAGUGAAUAGCGAGCCAUCUAUCAACAAUUAUUGAUUGGAUGGACUAGAGUGUACUGAAUUCCUUACUAAGUUGAGCUUGGUUGUUGACAAAUACAAGGGAAUGUUCAGGCUUGGGUUGUUCUCUUAACAAAUCAAUUUGAAUAUAUAUCCAAAUUGGUAACCCUUGGCAUGUUUUUUAAAAUGAGCAUAAAUAUUGAACAUACAUGUGCAGAGCAUUAAGCCGUUUGGCAUAGCAUAAAAUCUGAGGAUUUACUUGCUUCUAGAAUAAGUUUCUGAUUAGAUUAAUACCUUCGCUAAGACAAUUGUAGGUGUUUUAAAGUUGGAUACACUAAUCAGCAAUCGUUUAUUUUUUAAACUUGUGGUCUAAAGUAGACCAUAAAUAUAUGGGUAUAUAAAUUAUCUCAUUAAGAAUACGAUAGAAAAAGCUUAAUAUUAAAACUUUAGUAAGUAUAGAAAGGUAUAUGUUUUUGGAACUGACUAAAAAGGAAAGAAUGUCAUACAAAUUGGAAAGGAGGGAGCAGUAAAUAACAAGAGACACAUUAUGUUGCUUCCAAUUUUGAAAAAUAAACACAUGUGAAAUAGGCCAAUAGAACAAAGUAGAAAAUUCAUGAAAUACAGACAUGUUUUAUUCAUUCGAAGAAGCACAAAUAACUAUCACUAAAGUUGUGCAUACUAUGGAGUUACCUAUGGUACGGAGCAGGUUAUCACCAAAGUGGAACUUUCUGGUGCUAAUUCAGAUAGUAGGGCUUCAAGCAGGUACCAAACACACCG